GACGAACGCUGGCGGCGUGCUUAACACAUGCAAGUCGAACGGAAAGGCCCUGCUUUUGUGGGGUUCUCGAUUGGCGAACGGGUGAGUAACACGUGAGUAACCUGCCCUUGACUUUGUGAUAACUUCAGGAAACUGGGGCUAAUACCGGAUAGGAGCUCCUGCUGCAUGGUGGGGGUUGGAAAGUUUCGGCGGUUGGGGAUGGUCUCGCGGGUUCUCGGCUUGUUGGUGGGGUAGUGGCUUACCAAGGCUUUGACGGGUAGCCGGCCUGAGAGGGUGACCGGCAACCAUGGGACUGCGAGACGGAGCAGAAUCCAACGGGAGGCAGCAGUGGGGAAUAUUGCAGAAUGGGGGGAAGCCAGAUGCAGCAACGUCGGGUGCGGGAUGACGGGUUACGGGUUGUAAACCGAUUUCGAAUGUGACGAAGCGUGAGUGACGGUAAUGGGUAAAGAAGCACCGGCUAACUACGUG
rnacentral:rRNA from 1 species